AUUACGUACAUUUGAAGGAUCAAUACCUUAUGGUAUUAUGCUUGUCGUCUUUUGUAAUUCUGAUGGGAUCAGCCGUUGCUAUUAGUCUCAGAAUCUACAAGCUUUGAGCAAGGCAAUCCUUGGUCGCAGUCGCACCCUCAGUCUUCAGAAUCCACAACUAUGUGUGAUCAACUCAGGAUGCAUAAUCGGAGUGGAUGUUGAUAUUGUGCCGUCUCCAUAGGCGACACUUGAUCUCCACGAGGUAGAUGGUGCACUAACAAAACAUAAGCAUAUUGUUGGGCGACAACACCGAUUCCUGAUGCCUCAUAGGCCCAUGUGUAUGUAUCUCCCAUAUCUCAUGGAGAAAAGGAAUGAAAUUAAGGAGAGAUUUAAUAAUUUCCAAGGGGCGUAGCCAUGUAGGUAGAGUGUAGCUAAGUGCCUAAGUGAGUG
rnacentral:lncRNA from 1 species